AAAGCUUUACUCAGCCUUUUGGCUAAGAUCAAGUGUAGUAUCUGUUCCUAUAAGUUUAAAAGCUGUACUCUUAAGAUCAGUAAUAAUACAAGUAUGCCUGCUUUCACCACUU
rnacentral:snRNA from 1 species